GGGCCCAUGGUCUAGUGGCUAGGACGUUGCCCUCACACGGCAAAGAUGAGAGUUCAAUUCUCUCUGGGCCCA
rnacentral:tRNA from 1 species